GCUGGGCUUGGUGGUGCGUGCCUGUAGUCCCAGCUACUCAGGAGGCUGAGGAUGGAGGAUCGCUUGAGCCCAGGAGUUCUGGGCUAUAGUGCGCUAUGCUGAUUGGGUGUCUGUACUAAGUUUGGCAUCAAUAUGGUGACCUCCCGGGAGCGGGGGACCACCAGGUUGCCUAAGGAGGGAUGAACUGGCCCACGUCAGAAACAGAGCAGGUCAAAACUCCCGUGCUGAUCAGUAGUGGGAUCGUGCCUGUGAAUAGCCACUGCACCAUAGCCAGGACAACAUAGCAAGACCCCAUCUCU
rnacentral:SRP_RNA from 1 species